UGAGGUUCACUUUGAGGGCUGUAUUACAAAUAUUUGCUGAUUGUGUCCCAGCUGAUUCUCCCUUCUCCGUUGCUCUCUGACCUUGCAGAGCUCUGUUGUGCUCUCCUGAGCUCUUGUGGCUGUAGGGGAAGAUGCUCAGAGCCUGUGUACAGGUAGAAAAUGUCUCCUGUGAGCCUGGCAGAAGGUAUGGAAGAGGAGUGUGGUUUCACAGUUAAGAGAAAGGUCAGACUAAGUUUUAGGCUGAGCUUAUUGUCGUUAUUUUGGGCUAAAAGGCCAUUGGACUAAAUAAAAAAAAGUAAACUUGAUGAUGGAAAGCGGAGCUUGUGAAUUGCUGUUGGAGAUGGAGCAGUUUGGCACAGAAGAACUGGAAUUACUGCCUCCAGGGCAACUUGGCUGUUUGGAUCCCAACAAGGAGAAACCUUACGUGUGCCAUGUUUUGUGUUCAGCUUUUUCCUCUGUGUUUAUCUGCAGAAUUCCCAUUGAGACUCUUCAGUUACAAUGUUCCCUGGAAAAUCCUUUGGUAUCUCAUGCUGUGCUUCUUUCAAAUCUGAGGUGUAACAGCACCAGUUUAAUCUCUCCAUCUGUUGAUGGCAGAAGAUCAAUGCUGUAAAAUCGUGUGUUAAUAUAAA